ACUUAAGAAUAAAAUUGAAUUCUUGUAAAGAAACAGACUAUUAUAGUUUCAUCGGAAAACGUCUUGGUAACUUACAAAGUCGUUCGUAU